CUUCUCUUCUCCAGGCUAAACAUGCCCAGUUCUUUCAGUCUCUCUUCAUGGGGCUUUGUUUCCAGACCCCUGAUCAUCCUGGUUGCCCUCCUCCUCUGAACACGCUCCAGCUUGUCUGCGUCCUUCUUGAAUUGUGGAGCCCAGAACUGGAUGCAAUACUCUAGAUGAGGCCUAACCAGGGCCGAUUCUCUGUAGCGCUAAACUUUCGCAGUGGUUGUCAUUUUUGCUACCGAUCCUUUGCAUACCAGGAAGUGAGUAUAAGGGGGGAAAUGUAAAAAAUCAUUAAAAAAAUCAACGGAUGACCCAAUUCAAUUCAAAUUUGGUAUGCUUAAAGCUCUCCCUAAUAUCUAUUACUGUGCCAAUUUUGGUGUCUUUAUCAUGAAAGCUUACGCAGAUGUAAGCAUUUGUUUAAAAUCCUGCUCCUGUGCCCCAGCGGCUACGCUCAAAAAGUAGGGGCUCAAUAUGUCAAAUCUUUUUUGCUUUAUUGCACAAUUAAGGCAGGAUGCCUGGAAGUACUUCACAAUCAAAGCAGAUUAUAAGGUGGAAAACUUCUGAGUCCUUUGCAUGCAAUUCACAGUGAUUGCACAGUAUAACGCUGGGGUGAUAAAGCUCUUUGUUGUGAAGGGGCAGGAUGGAUGCCUUGUUUGCAAUAAGUGACUGUCUUAAGACAGUGCCUUUGAAAGCUAUUUGCACUUCAGGCUAUAGGUUUCACUGUGCUGGGUCCAAGGGGUUGCCUGUACCAGGGAAAAGCCCCGUGGCAGCUGUGGAUCUGCUCCACGCCGCAGCUUCGCAGCCCCCGCGGGGCUUUCCUGCGAUGCUGCGUUUUGAAGGAGUUAGGGAUUUACCCCAGCUUUUUUAAAAGGAGUGACGUCAACACAGCGGAGCCCGGUGGAAGGCGACCGGCAAUUGGUCGCCUUCCACCAGGAAAAGGACGUGGGUGGCUCCGGGACCCAAAUGGCCACCCAGAAACCCUGCGCUCCCUCCUCGGCGUUGGGAUUAUCCGACGCCACCCCAAGGGAGAGAAAGCGCGGGGUUGACGAGGGAGGCAGUGCCAACCCAGCGCCGUGAAGACACCCCCCUCUGGUUUUGGAGGCCCUUAGGCAGGAUGCCCUCCAUGGGCCUCCUACCUGAGUGUGUCCACCUCUUUCGCAAUUCUGCUGCCCAUUCGCUUCCUGUUUCCCUCUGAUCUCAAGAGGGCGAUUCCCAAGGCAAAGGAAGGAAGCUGCUGUACCUUCUCACUCUGUUUAUGGCUUGCGCAGGGCAGGUGAACAAGCAGCCACAUCCAGAAAGGGGAGCAUCAGGGUCAGGAGGCACCAAAGGUUAUCAGUGGGGCCUUUGCAGAGGGGGGCACGCACCUCUGCAGAGGCCCAACGAUGCCUGUCUCUGGUGCUGGGACUGUAAUGGUGGCUCCAGGCUUUUGAGGUCCUUUGGACAAGUCACACCCUCAAUGGGCCUCCUCUCUCAGUGAGUCCUCAGCUGCUCCUGCUUCUCCUCUUUCUCCCCAUUGCUCCAGCUUGUUUGCUUGACAGGCAGAAAGCCAGUGAGCAAGUAGGCCGUGGCAUCUACUGCUGCUCGUCCCCAUCACCACAGUUGCCUGGGCCAGGACUGGAGGCAGGUGGACAAGCAGGUUGCCAUGGUGAAGAGGAGGAACAACUCCAGGAGAAUCCUGUCAAUGGGUCCCUGCUGGGGUGUGGGCCCUUGGCUGGUGCCCAUGUAUGCCUACCCUUGACGCCAGCCCUGCAGCCCUGGCAGGUUGGACUAGCUAGCAGACGUGCGCAAAAGCAUCACUGCUCAAUUGAACUCUGCGCAACCACUGGCGUCAAAGUCGAAACACAGAACGAAGAACUUUGUUGGAAUACGGAUUGCGCCUGGCCGUACUACGAGCCACCCAGGAACUCAGCGUGGGUACAUGGCCAUGACUUCCAAAGCGAACAGAAUUCCAGCAAUUGACCACCAUGGCGAAAAAGUGCUGUCGUGUAUGCACAAUUGCGCUUUGAAGCACUCAUAAUAAACCUUUUGUCGUUGA